rnacentral:rRNA from 1 species
ACGGGGGGGGCCAGCGUUGUUCGGAAUUACUGGGCGUAAAGGGCGCGUAGGCGGCCUUCUAAGUCAGACGUGAAAUCCCUCGGCUCAACCGGGGAACUGCGUCUGAUACUGGGAGGCUUGAAUCCGGGAGAGGGAUGCGGAAUUCCAGGUGUAGCGGUGAAAUGCGUAGAUAUCUGGAGGAACACCGGUGGCGAAGGCGGCAUCCUGGACCGGCAUUGACGCUGAGGCGCGAAAGCCAGGGGAGCAAACGG